rnacentral:lncRNA from 1 species
CUGAAAUCUAUUUAAAGGCAAGGGGGCCUGGAAACCUUGGUCUGUUUUGAUGCUUGGACUUGAGGGGUCAUUUUUAUCUCAAGCCCAGGCCUGAGCACAGGUUCAGCCAUUUGAUUGCAAGUGCCACGUCCAGCCCUACCUUUAACUCAGUUAAAAAAUGAACCAAAAGGCAUCAGGUGGAAGAGACUAUGUUGAAGCAGCAUCAUUAAACCGACAAUGCUGCCGUGGCCAGGGCAAUUGAAUGCUAAUAAAAGUAGGGACUGUUAUUCUCUCUUUACAGAUGAGGAAACUGAGGCAUAUAUGAGCUGUUGUUGCUGGGGACUUCCUCUGUGUCUGCAGCCUGAUGGAAAGAUCUUUAUAGGUUAAAGCCAUGGAUAGGAGCAGAGAGGUAAUUAGCCUCUUAUCUACCGUCUACAUCCCAGCAAGGACAUGAGAAGAGGAGCUGGGUCUGCUUAUCAAACAAAGUAUACUUAACAGGAUGUGUUUAGGAGGGGCCUGAAGAUUCUUCAGUUUUAUCUCCUGCUCUCUCCUACCUCCUGGCCUCCCCUUACACUAAAUAUGGCUUGGAUUAGAGAAUUCAGCUUUUGGCUGGACUCCUGGACUCUCCAUCAGCUUGGAUUGCAGGACUCAAGUCCAAAGGGCCUCUCUUAGCAAAACUAUAGUUCUUCCCUCUCUCCUUUCAAGCAGGCUUGUUUCAAAAGAAGUAUGUUUCUUUCUUGUAGGAAUUUACUAAUGACCACAAGAAGUGGCCAGCCAAACAUUUCAAAAUGCUAAAAUUUUCCCACAAGUCUCCUAAAGAAGUAGCCUUAUGUUGGCACAUGGUUUAAAUUCCAAGAUUCAGCAGGUUGUGGAGUAACCAAUUCUUUAACUACCAACUAUUUGAGAAUUGCCACCUUCCCAGCCAAGAGCCUCGGGUCCAGAUCUCCUGCACCUACCUGGUCAGCUCUACAAGUCCCACAGUGCAGGGCCUGUUGCUUGCAACAUCCCGCUUCUGCUACCAGUUUCAUCACCAGUUAGAAAGUUCCAAGUAACAGAAAAUCCAACUUCUCCAACUGGUUUUGAAAAUAAUGGAAUGUAUUG